rnacentral:siRNA from 1 species
CAAUAUGUCUACGCUGGUUCA